rfam:Salmo salar isolate Sally breed double haploid chromosome ssa14, whole genome shotgun sequence.
GCAUUGGUGGUUCUGUGGUAGAAGUUUCGCCUGCCAUGCGUGAGGCCCGGGUUCAGAUCCCAGCCCAUCCA